rnacentral:misc_RNA from 1 species
UUUAGGGAGACCUACUUUUCAGUCAGCAGUGACCAGUAAACAGUGAGCAAAAAAACUGGUAACUGGUAACUGAUAACUGAACACUGAAAAGACAUCCCUAGGUCGGUCGAGGAAAGGUUGUUGGCUUUCAAACUAUGAUUGGUUCGAUCUAAGUCGCACUCAGACAAGCGAACAACAAAGUACGGUUGUGAGUAGGCAAACAGUCAAAGAGAUUGUUACACUCAAAAAUGGCGACUGCAAAUAUUGCUUUUUAGCAAUACGUAGCUCAAGAAAUAGAUCCAGCAAUAUUGCUUAAAACAGCAAGACUGCUGGGUGUGAACCAGCCAGAACCUUGAAAACUGCAUAGUAACGCGAGGCAGGUAGACACAGACAUACUAUGAUUGCAUGGAUGAAAGUGUUUGCUGAUAUAGAUAUCACCAAUUGUUGAGU